GGGUUCCUGAAAAAAAGUGGACCAAAAUGAACCUUUGAAAGGUUUGAAUGACUGUUCUUUAAAGAGAUAUAGCAAUGGGCAGCUAGAUUAAAAAUGGUGAAAAGUAGAUUUUCAUGGGGUCGUGCUUUUUCUGUAAAUGUGUCAAGUGACUUUAUUGCUCAUCUUGUGUGCAAUUCUGAUGGUAAGAGUUAUAGCCUGUCUGCUCUUUGUCUGGGGUGACAGCAGAGUGCAAAAUCUGUUCCUCAGCUAUUCUAGAGGUGGCAUGGGAACUUCAAUUAGAAAGUUAAUCAGUUGGUGAGGAGAUCUCUUAUUGUAAAUAAUGAACUGAUCAUCUGAGGUUCGAGGGAGUGGAGCAGUCUUAUUCAAAU
rnacentral:misc_RNA from 1 species